UCUUGUCUCACGUUUGCAUCUCUACAUCUCUACUUCGUUUGCUCAUUGCUCUGUUUGCCUCUCUAAACAAAACCCUUAAAUCAGAUAGUUGAUACCACAUCUGCGAUGCAUCCACAAAACCCUCAGAGCCCGACGCACCCACAACCUCAAAUCGGAGGCGCUUCUUCUCAUCCAAUCCAAAUCGUCGGCCACUCUCUAGCUUAUUCUCUUCCAAUCCAUAUUUAAAUCAGCAGCGCACUCAUAUCCAAUCCAACUUGGCGGCGCUUCAUCUCUUCCCGUACGACUCGGCGACCCUUCAACUCUUCCAUUCUAAAUCAGUGGUGCCACCCACAAUCUUCAGGUAUGAUUGCGGCAUGUAUGUUAUUAAGCACAUGCAUACAAAAAUUAUCAAACAGAAUCUAACCUUUAUGGAGAGCUGGUCAGAACUUAUUCGAUAUAAGUUGGCAUCAAAUCUAGUGCUUUCAAAGGAAAAUUAACAACGUUAAAAAAUAAUAGAAAAUGCUAGAAAUACUCCACUACAAGAUAUUUUUCGGUCACUGGAAUGACAGUGAUUUGUAUAAUUUGAUAACUGAAUUUUUCGGAAAAUGCUACAAUUUAGUGAAUUUUAUUUUUAAUUGAAAGGGAGAUUGAAUUUCAUGAGUUGCACUACCCUUGUUUAUGUGAGUUGCACUGCAUGUUUUUAGAUAUCAAUUUAUGUUGUUUGAAGAUGGUCCACUGCAAGAAGAAUAGAAUGAUGUCAGCUUACAGAGUAAAAAUUUAGUUUUAGUUUCAGAAAACUUUGAUGAUUUCAAGGCUGAUAAAGAAGCCAAACUGGAGGAAUGGUUGGGGGGGGUGGGGGAUUGACAACCCGCAUAAUCAUAGAGACGCAAGUGAUGCCGAAAGGGCUUUUACAUGACAAUACUCAGCUUAUGAAAAAGCUUUACCUGAAUCUGCAAUCACUGCUUGGAAAAUAGAAUCAGGAAUCUUCUUGUCAUGAACACAAAAUUGUGCAUUUUAACAUGUAUUUGAUGCUUCUGCCCCUACCAACUAGUUUCCAGUACUUGUGCUGCUUUACCAAAAAAAAAAAGGUUUCCAGCACUGUAUUUGUUAUGUGAAGUAAUGCUGAAUGAUGAGAUAAUAGCUAGUACAUGCAUUCGGCACUAUCAAUUGUUUGGAGAUGUUGAGUUUGGACAAUCUGCUUGGCAGACUAUAUGACAUU